rnacentral:rRNA from 1 species
UACGGAGGGUGCAAGCGUUAUCCGGAUUCACUGGGCUUAAAGGGUGCGUAGGCGGGUAUCUAAGUCCGUGGUGAAAGCUCCGGGCUUAACUUGGAAACUGCCAUUGAUACUGGAUAUCUUGAAUGUCGUUGAGGUUAGCGGAAUGUUGCAUGUAGCGGUGAAAUGCUUAGAUAUGUUACAGAACACCAAUGGUGAAGACAGCUAACUAAGCGAUGAUUGACGCUGAGGCACGAAAGCGUGGGGAGCAAACAGG